rnacentral:rRNA from 1 species
CUAGCCGUAAACGAUGGAUACUAGGCGUUGAGAGGAUCGACCCUCGCAGUGCCGUAGCUAACGCGUUAAGUAUCCCGCCUGGGGAGUACGCGCGCAAGCGUGAAACUCAAAGGAAUUGACGGGGGCCCGCACAAGCGGUGGAGUAUGUGGUUUAAUUCGAUGCAACGCGAAGAACCUUACCAGGGCUUGACAUGUCCGGAACCCUGCCCAAAGGUGGGGGUGCCUACGGGAGCUGGAACACAGGUGGUGC